AGAUUAAGUUAUUAAGGGCGCACGGUGGAUGCCUUGGCACUAGAAGCCGAAGAAGGACGUUACUAACGACGAUAUGCUUUGGGGAGCUGUAAGUAAGCGUUGAUCCAGAGAUUUCCGAAUGGGGAAACCCAACAUGAGUUAUGUCAUGUUAUCGAUAUGUGAAUACAUAGCAUAUCAGAAGGCAGACCCGGAGAACUGAAACAUCUUAGUACCCGGAGGAAGAGAAAGAAAAAUCGAUUCCCUGAGUAGCGGCGAGCGAAACGGGAAGAGCCCAAACCAACAAGCUUGCUUGUUGGGGUUGUAGGACACUCUAUAUGGAGUUACAAAAGUAUAUAUUAGACGAAUCAUCUGGAAAGUUGAAUCAAAGAAGGUAAUAAUCCUGUAGUCGAAAAUAUAUACUCUCUUGAGUGGAUCCUGAGUACGACGGAGCACGUGAAAUUCCGUCGGAAUCUGGGAGGACCAUCUCCUAAGGCUAAAUACUCUCUAGUGACCGAUAGUGAACCAGUACCGUGAGGGAAAGGUGAAAAGUACCCCGGAAGGGGAGUGAAAGAGAACUUGAAACCAUGUGCUUACAAGUAGUCAGAGCCCGUUAAUGGGUGAUGGCGUGCCUUUUGUAGAAUGAACCGGCGAGUUACGAUUUGAUGCAAGGUUAAGCAGUGAAUGUGGAGCCGUAGCGAAAGCGAGUCUGAAUAGGGCGUUGAGUAUUUGGUCGUAGACCCGAAACCAGGUGAUCUACCCUUGGUCAGGUUGAAGUUCAGGUAACACUGAAUGGAGGACCGAACCGACUUACGUUGAAAAGUGAGCGGAUGAACUGAGGGUAGCGGAGAAAUUCCAAUCGAACCUGGAGAUAGCUGGUUCUCUCCGAAAUAGCUUUAGGGCUAGCCUCAAGUGAUGAUUAUUGGAGGUAGAGCACUGUUUGGACGAGGGGCCCUUCUCGGGUUACCGAAUUCAGACAAACUCCGAAUGCCAAUCAAUUUAACUUGGGAGUCAGAACAUGGGUGAUAAGGUCCGUGUUCGAAAGGGAAACAGCCCAGACCACCAGCUAAGGUCCCAAAAUAUAUGUUAAGUGGAAAAGGAUGUGGCGUUGCCCAGACAACUAGGAUGUUGGCUUAGAAGCAGCCAUCAUUUAAAGAGUGCGUAAUAGCUCACUAGUCGAGUGACACUGCGCCGAAAAUGUACCGGGGCUAAACAUAUUACCGAAGCUGUGGAUUGUCCGUAGGACAAUGGUAGGAGAGCGUUCUAAGGGCGUUGAAGCAUGAUCGCAAGGACAUGUGGAGCGCUUAGAAGUGAGAAUGCCGGUGUGAGUAGCGAAAGACGGGUGAGAAUCCCGUCCACCGAUUGACUAAGGUUUCCAGAGGAAGGCUCGUCCGCUCUGGGUUAGUCGGGUCCUAAGCUGAGGCCGACAGGCGUAGGCGAUGGAUAACAGGUUGAUAUUCCUGUACCACCUAGUAUCGUUUUAAUCGAUGGGGGGACGCAGUAGGAUAGGCGAAGCGUGCUAUUGGAUUGCACGUCCAAGCAGUAAGACUGAGUGUUAGGCAAAUCCGGCACUCAUAAGGUCAAGCUGUGAUGGGGAGAGGAAAUUGUUUCCUCGAGUCGUUGAUUUCACACUGCCAAGAAAAGCCUCUAGAUAGAUAACAGGUGCCCGUACCGCAAACCGACACAGGUAGUCAAGAUGAGAAUUCUAAGGUGAGCGAGCGAACUCUCGUUAAGGAACUCGGCAAAAUGACCCCGUAACUUCGGGAGAAGGGGUGCUCUUUAGGGUUAACGCCCAGAAGAGCCGCAGUGAAUAGGCCCAAGCGACUGUUUAUCAAAAACACAGGUCUCUGCUAAACCGUAAGGUGAUGUAUAGGGGCUGACGCCUGCCCGGUGCUGGAAGGUUAAGAGGAGUAGUUAGCUUCUGCGAAGCUACGAAUCGAAGCCCCAGUAAACGGCGGCCGUAACUAUAACGGUCCUAAGGUAGCGAAAUUCCUUGUCGGGUAAGUUCCGACCCGCACGAAAGGCGUAACGAUUUGGGCACUGUCUCAACGAGAGACUCGGUGAAAUCAUAGUACCUGUGAAGAUGCAGGUUACCCGCGACAGGACGGAAAGACCCCGUGGAGCUUUACUGUAGCCUGAUAUUGAAAUUCGGCACAGCUUGUACAGGAUAGGUAGGAGCCUUUGAAACGUGAGCGCUAGCUUACGUGGAGGCAUUGGUGGGAUACUACCCUAGCUGUGUUGGCUUUCUAACCCGCACCACUUAUCGUGGUGGGAGACAGUGUCAGGUGGGCAGUUUGACUGGGGCGGUCGCCUCCUAAAAGGUAACGGAGGCGCUCAAAGGUUCCCUCAGAAUGGUUGGAAAUCAUUCAUAGAGUGUAAAGGCAUAAGGGAGCUUGACUGCGAGACUUACAAGUCGAGCAGGGUCGAAAGACGGACUUAGUGAUCCGGUGGUUCCGCAUGGAAGGGCCAUCGCUCAACGGAUAAAAGCUACCCCGGGGAUAACAGGCUUAUCUCCCCCAAGAGUUCACAUCGACGGGGAGGUUUGGCACCUCGAUGUCGGCUCAUCGCAUCCUGGGGCUGUAGUCGGUCCCAAGGGUUGGGCUGUUCGCCCAUUAAAGCGGUACGCGAGCUGGGUUCAGAACGUCGUGAGACAGUUCGGUCCCUAUCCGUCGUGGGCGUAGGAAAUUUGAGAGGAGCUGUCCUUAGUACGAGAGGACCGGGAUGGACAUACCUCUGGUGUACCAGUUGUCGUGCCAACGGCAUAGCUGGGUAGCUAUGUAUGGACGGGAUAAGUGCUGAAAGCAUCUAAGCAUGAAGCCCCCCUCAAGAUGAGAUUUCCCAACUUCGGUUAUAAGAUCCCUCAAAGAUGAUGAGGUUAAUAGGUUCGAGGUGGAAGCGUGGUGACACGUGGAGCUGACGAAUACUAAUCGAUCGAAGACUUAAUCAAUUU
rnacentral:rRNA from 1 species